rnacentral:piRNA from 1 species
UCCAGUACAGAUACACCGUAUCCCAGUAGCCU